rnacentral:rRNA from 1 species
GACGAACCGUGCGAACGUUAUUCGGAAUCAUUGGGCUUAAAGGGCGCGUAGGCGGCGGUGUAAGUUGGAAGUGAAAUCCCAUCGGCUCAACCGUGGAAUUGCUCCCAGUACUGCAUCGCUCGAGGGGGAUAGGGGUUUGCGGAACUACCGGUGGAGCGGUGAAAUGUGUUGAUAUCGGUGGGAACGCCAGUGGCGAAAGCGGCAAACUUGACCCUUCCUGACGCUGAGGCGCGAAAGCUAGGGGAGCGAAUGGG